rnacentral:rRNA from 1 species
AUGGCGACUCUGCGGCGGUGCUCCGGGCUGCUGCUCGCGGUGGUGGCGGUGGCGCUGGCGGCGGGGAUGGCGGCGGCGCAGGGGCCGGCCGGCGCGCCGGCGCCGGCGGCCGGGUUCAGCUCGGAGUGCAUGACCGCGGUGCUCAACAUGUCCGACUGCCUGCCGUACGUGGAGAGCGGGAGCAAGACGCGGCACCCGGACACGGCCUGCUGCCCGGAGCUGGACGGCCUGCUGCAGUCCAACCCCGUCUGCCUCUGCCAGCUGCUCGCCGGCGGCGCCGACUCCUACGGCAUCAGCGUCGACUACAAGCGCGCCAUGGCGCUGCCCGGCGUCUGCCGCCUCACCGCGCCGCCCCUCAGCGCCUGCGCAGCUUUUGGAGUCCCCGUGGGGCCUUCUUCGGCGCCAUUAACAGGAGUCUCUCCAUCCGCUACAGGGCCACAGAUGCCUGAGAACCCGCCAUCCGCAACGCCGUCCAAGUCCAAGUCCCACGCCCCGGGCCGCCUCACCGGCCGCGGCCUAGUCGCCCUCGCCGCGCUGCCGCUGGCGAUCACGGCCGCCGCCAUGUUUUAG